rnacentral:tRNA from 1 species
GACGGGGUGUGCGGGGGCUCCCAGCCGGGGGUCGCCUGGUGGGCGAUCAGGCAUCGGUAGCUCACGCCCUGGUACCGCACCAGGUCCCCGACGCC